rnacentral:rRNA from 1 species
ACGCUCGACACCUACGGGAGCAGCAGGUGGGGAAUAUUGCACAAGUGGGGGAAACCCUGAUGCAGCGACGCCGCGUGAGCGAAGAAGUAUUUCGGUAUGUAAAGCUCUAUCAGCAGGGAAGAAACUGACGGUACCUGACUAAGAAGCACCGGCUAAAUACGUACCAGCAGCCGCGGUAAUCUGAGCGGGCUGGCAAGGC